ACGGGAGGCAGCAGUGGGGAAUAUUGCACAAUGGGCGCAAGCCUGAUGCAGCGACGCCGCGUGAGGGAUGACGGCCUUCGGGUUGUAAACCUCUUUCAGCAGGGACGAAGCGCAAGUGACGGUACCUGCAGAAGAAGCACCGGCCAACUACGUGCCAGCAGCCGCGGUAAUACGUAGGGUGCAAGCGUUGUCCGGAAUUACUGGGCGUAAAGAGCUCGUAGGCGGUUUGUCGCGUCGUCUGUGAAAACCAGCAGCUCAACUGUUGGCUUGCAGGCGAUACGGGCAGACUUGAGUAUUUCAGGGGAGACUGGAAUUCCUGGUGUAGCGGUGAAAUGCGCAGAUAUCAGGAGGAACACCGGUGGCGAAGGCGGGUCUCUGGGAAAUAACUGACGCUGAGGAGCGAAAGCGUGGGUAGCGAACAGGAUUAGAUACCCUGGUA
rnacentral:rRNA from 1 species